rnacentral:lncRNA from 1 species
CAAACUGAGCAGACUUCCUCUGACAGGGCUGCUUAUCAUGCAGUUUCUGCCUUACAACCAGCUUAGGACAGACUGAAUCCUCUGAGACUCCAAGCUAAAAUGAACCCUUCCUCUUUUAUGUUGAUUUUGUGAUGUAUUUUGUCCCAACAGUGAAAAAUGACAUGGCCUCUAAAUCCCAGCAUUCUGAAUGCUUGCUUGACUUUUUCCCAAGCUUGACUUUGGGAGUUCCACUUCUCAACUCAAGGAUGGUCAAAGAAGCAGGAGGCUGUAUCUGGAAGAAGGGUCAUUAACACUACCAAGGAAAACUGUGACUGUUUCACACAUUACAUUUUCUCCAGCAAAGCAGAUUCUGGAGUACCAAGAUAGAACUAAAUC